GCCCCCAUAGUAUAAUCAAUUA
rnacentral:tRNA from 1 species